rnacentral:lncRNA from 1 species
AUGAUGGAAUUUGUAGAUAUACACUAUCAAGAGGCCAAAGGUAUGAGGACCAUGAAAAGCUCCACAUGGAAACAGAACUACGUUCUUUGUAUUUUACUGGAUAACCUCUUGAUCCACAGUAAACAGAACCAUUCCUAUCUAGCAUCCCUACAGAAUGCCUGGUGGAAAUUUUGUGAAAGCAGAAACUAUAGGAGCAGAAAUAUAGUGGGAGUCCAUGAUCAAAUGUGCACAUUUCAAUCCACUGAUUUCAAGUGGAGCUUCUUCAAGGUUACAGCAAAUGAAUGUCAGGAAUAUGUCUUGUCGGCAGAACAAAAAGAAGCUAAGAAAAUGAGCAUCAACACUUUGUUCCUGUCCUUUGCCAAGGAAAGAUUCUCAGAAAAGACCUCUAAAUAUCUAUUAUUUAAACUAUGUUGUACUUUUGUGUAUCUAUGCAUAAGAAUGGAACAGGCAAGGUGGUCAGUUUCUUGCUCUACAAUUCCAAUUCCACACACAAUGUAA